AUUGAACGCUGGCGGAAUGCUUUACACAUGCAAGUCGAACGGUAGAGGGGGCAACCCCUUGAGAGUGGCGAACGGGUGAGUAAUGUAUCGGAACGUGCCCAGUCGUGGGGGAUAACGUAGUGAAAAUUACGCUAAUACCGCAUACGAUCUAUGGAUGAAAGCGGGGGAUCGCAAGACCUCGCGCGAUUGGAGCGGCCGAUAUCAGAUUAGGUAGUUGGUGGGGUAAAGGCUCACCAAGCCAACGAUCUGUAGCUGGUCUGAGAGGACGACCAGCCACACUGGAACUGAGACACGGUCCAGACUCCUACGGGAGGCAGCAGUGGGGAAUUUUGGACAAUGGACGCAAGUCUGAUCCAGCCAUUCCGCGUGCAGGACGAAGGCCUUCGGGUUGUAAACUGCUUUUGUACGGAACGAAAAAGCUCUUAUUAAUACUAGGAGUCCAUGACGGUACCGUAAGAAUAAGCACCGGCUAACUACGUGCCAGCAGCCGCGGUAAUACGUAGGGUGCAAGCGUUAAUCGGAAUUACUGGGCGUAAAGCGUGCGCAGGCGGUUAUAUAAGACAGAUGUGAAAUCCCCGAGCUUAACUUGGGAACUGCAUUUGUGACUGUAUAGCUAGAGUACGGCAGAGGGGGAUGGAAUUCCGCGUGUAGCAGUGAAAUGCGUAGAUAUGCGGAGGAACACCGAUGGCGAAGGC
rnacentral:rRNA from 1 species